UACGUAGGGGGGCAAGCGUUGUCCGGAUUUAUUGGGCGUAAAGAGCGUGUAGGCGGCUUUACAGGUCCGUUGUGAAAACUCGAGGCUCAACCUCGAGACGCCGGUGGAAACCGUAAAGCUAGAGUCCGGAAGAGGAGAGUGGAAUUCCUGGUGUAGCGGUGAAAUGCGCAGAUAUCAGGAAGAACACCCGUGGCGAAGGCGGCUCUCUGGGACGGUACUGACGCUGAGACGCGAAAGCGUGGGGGAGCGAACAGG
rnacentral:rRNA from 1 species